GAGAAGACAUCAAAUGAUCACAACAGCAAUGGUGGGAAACAACAACCGUGAGUAAAGAGAAGAAAGGAACACGGAAAUAAGGAGAAAGAAGAAGCAUCCCUCGAUGUCACUGAUAGGACAAUACUCACCGAUAGUGGUUUUGUACUAGCCCAAUUUUCAGUGGUGUCAGAAACAGUGGUUCGAGACCACUAAAUUUGACGAAUUUUUGAGUAGUCGGGAGGUCGGAUCAACGCAUUGAAUCACACUAUCCAACUUGCCGGUAGAUUUUGAUAAACAUACUAUGUUUUAUAUGGCAUGUAUAGGAAUUUAAAUGGCUGUGUAAAAUUAAAAUUACAUUUUGGCUAUGUUUCAUGUUAACUUAUAUAUGUAUGAUUUGUCAUGUUUGGUAUAAGUGUUGGUAUGGGUAAUGAAUAAAUUGGUAUAGCAUGUUUAUAUAGAA